AGUGUCACUAGCUCUGCCCCCAGAGAACUCAAAACUCACCCCGGUGCUGAGCGGAUACAGGCGUGGGAAAAUGGCGUGCAUGUGUUAGGGGGAGCUGUGUGUGUUCUCAAAGCUUUGGGUACAUCAGGCAGUGCCCCAAAGGUGUCAUGACAAGUAACGAAGCCUCUGAGGUGAUCUCUGACAGUGACAUAAGAGAGAAGCUUGUCAGUGUUCCUGUGGUGAGAUGAGAGAGAUG
rnacentral:lncRNA from 1 species